GACGUAGGGCGCGAGCGUUGUCCGGAUUUAUUGGGCGUAAAGGGCGCGUAGGCGGGAUGGCAAGUCGGUCGUGAAAUCCCUCGGCUCAACCGAGGAACGUCGAUCGAUACUGCUGUUCUUGAGGAUUGCAGAGGAGACUGGAAUUCCCGGUGUAGCGGUGAAAUGUGUAGAGAUCGGGAGGAACACCGGUGGCGAAGGCGGGUCUCUGGGCAAUUCCUGACGCUGAGGCGCGAAAGCGUGGGGAGCAAACGGG
rnacentral:rRNA from 1 species